rnacentral:ncRNA from 1 species
UUAAAUUCUAUGAGUGGAAGAGUAAAUCACAUGUCCCUUUCAAGCGAAUCGGAGUUGGUGGAAGUCCGAUAAUACAUGUAGUUGAAGAGAGCCCAUGAGAAGCCUAUGGCCGGUCGUCCCCGUUAUCGACAUUGAGUGAGAAGGAGAUUCCUUCUAAUAAGAGUGGCAACGCGGAUUUAUUCGUCUCUUGA